rnacentral:rRNA from 1 species
UGGCGGCAGGCUUAACACAUGCAAGUCGAGCGGUAGCAGAUCUAGCUUGCUAGAUGCUGACGAGCGGCGGACGGGUGAGUAACGCGUAGGAACCUGCCCAGUAGUGGGGGAUAGCCCGGGGAAACUCGGAUUAAUACCGCAUACGCUCUACGGAGGAAAGAGGGGGCUUCGGCUCUCGCUAUUGGAUGGGCCUGCGUGAGAUUAGCUAGUUGGUGAGGUAAAGGCUCACCAAGGCGACGAUCUCUAGCUGGUCUGAGAGGAUGAUCAGCCACACUGGGACUGAGACACGGCCCAGACUCCUACGGGAGGCAGCAGUGGGGAAUAUUGCACAAUGGGCGCAAGCCUGAUGCAGCCAUGCCGCGUGUGUGAAGAAGGCUUUCGGGUUGUAAAGCACUUUCAGUGGGGAGGAAGGCCUCGUAGUUAAUAGCUGCGAGGAUUGACGUUACCCACAGAAGAAGCACCGGCUAACUCCGUG